UACGUAGGGAGCAAGCGUUGUUCGGAUUUACUGGGCGUAAAGGGCGCGUAGGCGGCAAUUCAAGUCAUCUGUGAAAUCUCCGGGCUUAACUCGGAACGGUCAACUGAUACUGCGCGGCUAGAGUGCAGAAGGGGCAACUGGAAUUCUCGGUGUAGCGGUGAAAUGCGUAGAUAUCGAGAGGAACACCUGCGGCGAAGGCGGGUUGCUGGGCUGACACUGACGCUGAUGCGCGAAAGCCAGGGGAGCGAACGGG
rnacentral:rRNA from 1 species